UACGUAGGGAGCAAGCGUUGUCCGGAAUCAUUGGGCGUAAAGCGCGCGUAGGUGGCCCUGUAAGUCCGUUGUGAAAGUCAAAGGCUCAACCUUUGAAAGCCGAUGGAUACUGCAGGGCUAGAGUACGGAAGAGGCGAGUGGAAUUCCUGGUGUAGCGGUGGAAUGCGCAGAUAUCAGGAGGAACACCGAUGGCGAAGGCAGGUCACUGGGC
rnacentral:rRNA from 1 species